rnacentral:tRNA from 1 species
GCCAGCAUGGUGUAGUGGUUUGAACACUGGACUAUGACUCUGGAGGCCAGGGUUCGAAUCCCUGCCCAGUCA